rnacentral:rRNA from 1 species
GACGAACGCUGGCGGCGUGCCUAAUACAUGCAAGUCGAACGCAGUGGGGACGGGUGAUUAACACGUGGGUAACCUUCCCUCAGAGGGGAUAACACUUGGCAACAGGUGCUAAACCGGUACUGAUGGAUGGACCCGGGGUGCAUUAGCUAGUUGGUGAGGUAACGGCUAACCAAGGCCACGAUGCAUAGCCGACCUGAGAGGGUGAUCGGACACACUGGGACUGAGACACGGCCCAGACUCCUACGGGAGGCAGCAGUAGGGAAUAUUCGGCAAUGGACGAAAGCCUGACCGAGCCACGCCGCGUGAGUGAAGAAGGUUUUCGGAUUGUAAAGCUCUGUAAUUAGAGAAGCGGUACCUAACCAGAAAGCCACGGCUAACUACGUGCCAGCAGCCGCGGUAAUUC